CAUGGGGGGGAGGGGGGGUCCCUCGGCCCGGAUUGUGAGAGGGCACAGGCCAGGCUGAGGGACCCCACUGGUGUGUG
rfam:Myotis brandtii contig238070, whole genome shotgun sequence.